ACAGUCGUGGCCUAAUGGUUAAAGAGUCGGACUUGUAACCCGAAGGUGAACCCGAAGGUCGUGGGUUCGAGUCUCAGGUCCGGCAGGG